AACGAACGCUGGCGGCAUGCCUAACACAUGCAAGUCGAACGAGACCUUCGGGUCUAGUGGCGCACGGGUGCGUAACGCGUGGGAACCUGCCUUUAGGUUCGGAAUAACUCAGAGAAAUUUGAGCUAAUACCGGAUGAUGUCUUCGGACCAAAGAUUUAUCGCCUUUAGAUGGGCCCGCGUAAGAUUAGCUAGUUGGUGGGGUAAAGCCUACCAAGGCGACGAUCUUUAGCUGGUCUGAGAGGAUGAUCAGCCACACUGGGACUGAGACACGGCCCAGACUCCUACGGAGGCAGCAGUGGGGAAUAUUGGACAAUGGGCGAAAGCCUGAUCCAGCAAUGCCGCGUGAGUGAUGAAGGCCUUAGGGUUGUAAGCUCUUUUACCCGAGAUGAUAAUGACAGUAUCGGGAGAAU
rnacentral:rRNA from 1 species